rnacentral:rRNA from 1 species
UACGGAGGGUGCAAGCGUUAUCCGGAUUCACUGGGUUUAAAGGGUGCGUAGGCGGGUAGGUAAGUCAGUGGUGAAAUCCUGGAGCUCAACUCCAGAACUGCCAUUGAUACUAUCUAUCUUGAAUAUUGUGGAGGUAAGCGGAAUAUGUCAUGUAGCGGUGAAAUGCUUAGAUAUGACAUAGAACACCCAUUGCGAAGGCAGCUUACUACGCAUAUAUUGACGCUGAGGCACGAAAGCGUGGGGAUCAAACAGGAUUAGAUACCCUGGUAGUCCACGCCCUAAACGAUGGAUACUCGACAUACGCGAUACACUGUGUGUGUCUGAGCGAAAGCAUUAAGUAUCCCACCUGGGAAGUACGUUCGCAAGAAUGAAACUCAAAGGAAUUGGCGGGGGUCCGCACAAGCGGUGGAGUAUGUGGUUUAAUUCGAUGAUACGCGAGGAACCUUACCUGGGCUAGAAUGCUGGGAGACCGCUAGUGAAAGCUAGUUUUGUAGCAAUACACUGCCAGUAAGGUGCUGCAUGGCCGUCGUCAGCUCGUGCCGUGAGGUGUUGGGUUAAGUCCCGCAACGAGCGCAACCCCUAUCUUUAGUUGCCAACAGGUAAUGCUGGGAACUCUAAAGAAACUGCCGCCGUAAGGUGUGAGGAAGGAGGGGAUGAUGUCAGGUCAUCAUGGCCUUUAUGCCCAGGGCUACACACGUACUACAAUGGGGAAGACAAAGGGCUGCAACAUAGCGAUAUGAAGCCAAUCCCAAAAACUUCCUCUCAGUUCAGAUUGCAGGCUGCAACUCGCCUGCAUGAAGCUGGAAUCGCUAGUAAUCGUAUAUCAGCAAUGAUACGGUGAAUACGUUCCCGGACCU